CUCUGUCUGCUAGUUGUUGUUGCUCCAGUUCUCCCUUCAUUUCUGUUGGUUUAGUUUGGUUAUGUUGUUUCAGUUUAUUGUUACGAGAAGUGUUUCGAGAAGUUAGCUGACAGGGCAAGCACUGACAUAUGACAUGUUGUGUGUUUGUGUGGCGCUGAUUAACCCUGGUACAUUCAUUCAGGACAUGUCUCAGAUGAUUAAUGUCUCAGGCAGUCGCGGAAACGGCACGCUGACGGCUGCAAACCAGACGCCUUCUACACAGAGAACACUAUUGAAGACAAAGACGCUGACGGACUGUUCUUGUUCUCCUACCAUACAAACUUUUGUAAAUACACCUUUUGAAACCUAAAGUACAACAACGAGGAAGAGCGGGGGGCUGGCCCAGCGAGGACGUCGACUGAGCACGCAGGGCAGUGUACCCUGGAGAGAAGGCGUGGCCACCGAAGCAAGCAGACCUCUUCAGACGCCAACGCAUUUUGUGUCUGGGAAGCAAAUAUUUCGCUGCACAAAGCAUGCUGGGAUACCUGGAGACACGGACCAAGCUGGCAUUGCAACAGGAAAAAGAAGACCCAGAAUUACUGCUUGGAGGAAGGUGGCAGCUAUUGUUGGGGGAAACUUAUGGCCUGGCCUCGUCACUCUGAUAUCAGGUGUGCUCAGACCACACUGUGCUGUCUCUUCCUGUGAAGAGAUGCAUACCCCCCCGCCCCCGACAAACCAUUAGACUCUCCAUAUGAGCCUCCUGUUCCUUAUUGUGUUUGGAAGGAACCUCAGAGCUGCAGAGUUCAGAUCAUCAGAGCCCACAUUCUGUAGAUCAAUACAGUAUUUAGUAUCACAUAUCUCACACACUGGAACUACUUUUUUCAGAAGGCAGUGGAGAAUCUGUACUGGCCCUGGUUAAUGAUUUAAACCUUAAAUAUACCAACAUAUAUUAUUAACUACUGUAAUACUUCACCUUGUUUCUUUCAGGAUGCAGUUCUUCUUUAGCAACUAUGUGACAAAACAUACGCCUGAUUAGUUAACUGACCAAAUUCUUUGCAGUGGAUUUGUCUGUUAAAACGUAAUACAACUGAAUGUACAACAAGUGAUACGUCUGUACCUUUCUGAAGUGACAGAUGACAGCUAUCAUGAAGACAAACGUCAGAACACCAGGAUCACAUUUAGUCUGUUUUUAAAAGAGAUGGCUGAGAUUGAAAUGACUGGCUCUGUGGACACUUGCACCGGUGCUUUAAAAAAAACAAAAUGACGAAACUUGAGACAUAUUGUUUUACUGUUUUUUCUUUGUGCUGUUUUCAUACUACUAAUAAAUGUGAAAUAUUCUAUAAGUAUGA